AGUGAAGCGGGAAAAGCUCCAAUUUAAAAUCUGGCAGUCUUUGGCUGUCCGAAUUGUAUUCUGGAGAAGCGUUUUCCGCGCUGGACCGUGUAUAAGUCUCUUGGAAUAGAGCGUCAUAGAGGGUGAGAAUCCCGUCUUUGACACGGACUACCAGUGCUUUGUGAUGCGCUCUCAAAGAGUCGAGUUGUUUGGGAAUGCAGCUCAAAUGGGUGGUGA
rnacentral:rRNA from 1 species